rnacentral:rRNA from 1 species
AUCUGCCAUCAGGUCUGGGACAACCACUGGAAACGGUGGCUAAUACCGGAUGUGCCCUUCGGGGUGAAAGGUUAACUGCCUGUUGAUGAGCUCGCGUCUGAUUAGCUAGUUGGUGUGGUAAGAGCGCACCAAGGCGACGAUCAGUAGCUGGUCUGAGAGGACGAUCAGCCACACUGGGACUGAGACACGGCCCAGACUCCUACGGGAGGCAGCAGUGGGGAAUUUUCCGCAAUGGGCGAAAGCCUGACGGAGCAAUACCGCGUGAGGGAGGAAGGCUCUUGGGUCGUAAACCUCUUUUCUCAGGGAAGAACACAAUGACGGUACCUGAGGAAUAAGCAUCGGCUAACUCCGUGCCAGCAGCCGCGGUAAUACGGAGGAUGCAAGCGUUAUCCGGAAUGAUUGGGCGUAAAGCGUCCGCAGGUGGCUAUGUAAGUCUGCUGUUAAAGAGUCUAGCUCAACUAGAUAAGAGCAGUGGAAACUACAAGGCUAGAGUGCGUUCGGGGCAGAGGGAAUUCCUGGUGUAGCGGUGAAAUGCGUAGAGAUCAGGAAGAACACCGGUGGCGAAGGCGCUCUGCUAGGCCGCAACUGACACUGAGGGACGAAAGCUAGGGGAGCGA